rnacentral:misc_RNA from 1 species
CGCACAUUGCGCCCCCUGGUAUUCCGGCGGGCAUGCCUGUUCGAGCGUCAUUUCAACCCUCAAGCUCUGCUUGGUGUUGGGAGCUGGCCCCCCGGGGCCUUCCCGAAAAUUAGCGGCGAUGCGGCCGGAUUCCCAGCGCAGUGACUUUUUAUCUCGCUGAUUGGAUCCCCGGGCGACGUCCGCCGGGCAACAAACCCAUACUCUUUAAAAGAUUGACCUCGGAUCAGGUAGGGAUACCCGCUGAACUUAA